rnacentral:rRNA from 1 species
ACUUUCAGUCGUGAGGAAGGUAGUGUAGUUAAUAGCUGCAUUAUUUGACGUUAGCGACAGAAGAAGCACCGGCUAACUCCGUGCCAGCAGCCGCGGUAAUACGGAGGGUGCGAGCGUUAAUCGGAAUUACUGGGCGUAAAGCGCAUGCAGGUGGUUUGUUAAGUCAGAUGUGAAAGCCCGGGGCUCAACCUCGGAAUUGCAUUUGAAACUGGCAGACUAGAGUACUGUAGAGGGGGGUAGAAUUUCAGGUGUAGCGGUGAAAUGCGUAGAGAUCUGAAGGAAUACCGGUGGCGAAGGCGGCCCCCUGGACAGAUACUGACACUCAGAUGCGAAAGCGUGGGGAGCAAACAGGAUUAGAUACCCUGGUAGUCCACGCCGUAAACGAUGUCUACUUGGAGGUUGUGGCCUUGAGCCGUGGCUUUCGGAGCUAACGCGUUAAGUAGACCGCCUGGGGAGUACGGUCGCAAGAUUAAAACUCAAAUGAAUUGACGGGGGCCCGCACAAGCGGUGGAGCAUGUGGUUUAAUUCGAUGCAACGCGAAGAACCUUACCUACUCUUGACAUCCAGAGAACUUUCCAGAGAUGGAUUGGUGCCUUCGGGAACUCUGAGACAGGUGCUGCAUGGCUGUCGUCAGCUCGUGUUGUGAAAUGUUGGGUUAAGUCCCGCAACGAGCGCAACCCUUAUCCUUGUUUGCCAGCGAGUAAUGUCGGGAACUCCAGGGAGACUGCCGGUGAUAAACCGGAGGAAGGUGGGGACGACGUCAAGUCAUCAUGGCCCUUACGAGUAGGGCUACACACGUGCUACAAUGGCGCAUACAGAGGGCGGCCAACUUGCGAAAGUGAGCGAAUCCCAAAAAGUGCGUCGUAGUCCGGAUUGGAGUCUGCAACUCGACUCCAUGAAGUCGGAAUCGCUAGUAAUCGUGGAUCAGAAUGCCACGGUGAAUACGUUCCCGGGCCUUGUACACACCGCCCGUCACACCAUGGGAGUGGGCUGCAAAAGAAGUAGGUAGUUUAACCUUCGGGGGGACGCUUACCACUUUGUGGUUCAUGACUGGGGUGAAGUCGUAACAAGGUAGCGCUAGGGGAACCUGGCGCUGGAUCACCUCCUUAA